AGGAAAUAGAUACCCGGGUAGUCCAUGCCGUAAACGAUGAACACUUGUUGUUGGAGGUAUUGACCCCUUCAGUGACGAAAGCUAAACGCGUUAAGUGUUCCGCCUGGGGAGUACGGUCGCAAGAUUAAAACUCAAAGAAAUUGACGGGGGCCCGCACAAGCGGUGGAGCAUGUGGUUUAAUUCGAUGCAACGCGAAAAACCUUACCUGGGCUCGAAAUGUACGGGAAGUAAGCAGAGAUGUUUACGUCUUCGGACCCGUAUAUAGGUGCUGCAUGGCUGUCGUCAGCUCGUGUCGUGAGAUGUUGGGUUAAGUCCCGCAACGAGCGCAACCCUUGCCUUUAGUUGCCAGCAUUCAGUUGGGCACUCUAAAGGGACUGCCGGUGUUAAACCGGAGGAAGGUGGGGAUGACGUCAAGUCCUCAUGGCCCUUAUGUCCAGGGCUACACACGUGCUACAAUGGGUGGUACAGAGAGCUGCCAACUCGUAAGAGGGAGCUAAUCUCAUAAAACCAUUCUAAGUUCAGAUUGAGGUCUGCAACUCGACCUCAU
rnacentral:rRNA from 1 species